GCCUCUGCGUCCACUCUUGCCUAUUUGGGGCCUAUGGAUUAGAGGCAAGAUCACUUCUUGAUCCAGCUGGUGUCGGACGAAGAAGCCAGCGUCUGGCACGUGGAGUUGCUGUGUGUUUUCAUGCAAGCAGAUACCUCCCUAGGCAAAUGGCAGUGUUAGGCAAAUGACAGGAUUUUAUUUGCACCUCCCUUUAUUCUGGUCUGUAUAUACACUUUGGUAUCAAAACACAAGUCAUUUCCAAGAAUACUUUGAUAAUGUGUAGGCAAUACGUUUUAUGUUAAAAGAUUCCAGCUUCAGCGAUAUAUGAUACAAACCUUAAAAUUCAGGAGGAUUUUCUAGGUCUGUAAGGGGACAAACAUGCAAAAUGUUCCUAAACCAGUGGCGGUGUAGUGGGGUCCCACUGCAGGGGGACAGAUGGCAUCUUUUCACCGUUGCUGGUGUAAGAAAGGAAGAAAACAGGACCCGGUGGGAUCCCAGGUUCCUGAAAGCCCUAAAUGAGCAAAACGCUUCAGCCCGUGCUAAUCCAGCGUGAUUGAGGCCCGCUCCGAGCAGUCCUUAGGGUCAGGACCAAACCUACCUGCUGAUGCCAGUUGUGGCGCAUGAAGGAUCCGGGUGCUCGUCUGCGAAGGGCGGGUGUUGGCAUUGCCCCUCGCUGGCCUGCAAGGGGCUCGUGGGGCGCUCAGGAGAAUCCGAGAAGUACCUGCUACAGGAAUUAGACGCCUCUGGAAUUUUAGCGACUGGUCAAAAUCCUCAUUUAGGCAAUUAAAUCGAUUUUUGGAUCCAA